rnacentral:tRNA from 1 species
GGGCCGUUAGCUCAGUGGUAGAGCACCUGACUUUUAAUCAGGGUGUCACAGGUUCGAUACCUGUACGGCCUACCA